GACAGAGGGUGCAAACGUUGCUCGGAAUUACUGGGCGUAAAGCGCGUGUAGGUGGAUUGGUGUGUCAGAUGUGAAAUCCCUGGGCUCAACCCAGGAACUGCACCUGAAACUACCAGUCUUGAGUGGUGGAGAGGGAAGUGGAAUUCCUGGUGUAGAGGUGAAAUUCGUAGAUAUCAGGAGGAACACCAGUGGCGAAGGCGGCUUCCUGGACACUAACUGACGCUGAGACGCGAAAGCGUGGGGAGCAAACAGG
rnacentral:rRNA from 1 species